UACGUAGGCAGCGAGCGUUGUUCGGAGUUACUGGGCGUAAAGGGUGUGUAGGCGGUUGUUUUAAGUUUGGUGUGAAAUCUCCCGGCUCAACUGGGAAGGUGCGCCGAAUACUGAAUGACUUGGAGUGCGGGAGAGGAAAGUGGAAUUCCUGGUGUAGCGGUGAAAUGCGUAGAUAUCAGGAGGAACACCGGUGGUGUAGACGGCUUUCUGGACCGUAACUGACGCUGAGACACGAAAGCGUGGGUAGCAAACAGG
rnacentral:rRNA from 1 species